GCCAGACUCACUCCGGAUGAAGACCAAGCACCUUUUAAUCCUUAUGUAUUCCCUGACCAGAAGAGUGGAGCAGAAAAUUCUGCCAGUAAUGUUGGUUAUUUAGGAAAUGAAGAUUCCGAAUCUGUUAACAUUCGAAAUAUUCUUGAAAAUAACAAAUAUGAACCCUUCAAAAGUAGCAACGAGGACGUUUUUGUCGAUUCGCUGGAAGGACACUAUAACUACGAAAAUUUCACCAAAAUCCAGGAUGAUAUGUAUAAAAAUGUCGUGUUGGAUGUCGAAUUUUCUAGAGAUGAAGUUGCCGCUAGUGUAUGCGGUAAACGGAAGGAUUCGGACUGCUUGGAUCAAAAAUAUUUUCGAGUUAAGGAAGACUUAACUGUCGAUGGCGAAAAAUUGGAAAGUAUCGGUUAUCAUUUUGAAGAAGUGCCUAUAAAAGCGGCUGAUGAUGAUCCUCCUCCCGAAAUAAACGACGAGAAUCACAAUGAAGAUGCUAAUUUUGCCAAUAACAAAAAUAAUUCUGCGGUUAACAAACUUCCUUCGGAAGUUAACUUUCGUUCUUUCUUGCCAGAAAAUCUCCAGACGAGUGAAGCAAUACAAAAACAGUUGCAUUUUUCUACAGAUUUCAACUCUAAUAUCGAAUCUCACGUUAGAAAUGUGUGUAAUGUCGAAGAAGUUAACGAAAUUCGAUCCGAUGA
rnacentral:lncRNA from 1 species